GCCGCCGUAGCUCAGCCGGCAGAGCGCCGCCCUGGUAAGGCGGAGGUCCCGGGUUCAAAUCCCGGCGGCGGCUCCA
rnacentral:tRNA from 1 species